GCGCUUAACUCAACAGUGUAUGGUGUACAGUUCAUACUGUGCGGGCUACAAAAUGAUUAUGACGUACAACCUAACGUUACUUGAUCCUGAUGAAUGACUCAGCGAAAAUGGUUUACGAUCAGAUUAUGAGGAUCAAUCUGCUCGAUCCUGGAUGACUAUGGUGUACGAUCAGGUUAAAACCACCUUUAAGCUGACCUUGUUAAGGAAACCAGGACAUCCAGGAGCGUGGGUAAGUGCUUUGCAUGGAACCCUUAGUUUUGGACCAUAUGCAUUGUUGACUAUGCCGUUGAUGAUGUUUAAAGUAUCAUUGGGAAUCUCUCUGAGACUAUGUGAAAGAAUUUAGAUAACUGAAACGGUCUGCAGUAAUUUUGAAAGGACCCUACCCCUCUAUGUACAGCUGAAAUUAACUAGCUUUAUUUGUUCUUCAGUUGUGCCUCAAGUUGUCGGAUGGUUGGAACCUCUAGUCGGACUCAUCAAUACAGUUGCCUGUAAGUUGUUUACUGCAGCUGGAACACUUGACCAUUGCCGAUACAAUGAUGACAGCAUAGUUCAGCAGAUUAACCAUGAAGAACACUCAGCAUUGUCUUUCGCUCCUAUCUGAUGUAUCGGCUAUUACACGGAAAUAUAAAUUCAACAUGUAACAAUUUCAAUGGUUUUGCUGAGUUCAUAUUUCAAGUCAACUGAAAUAAACCCAUUAUGCCCAAAUCUAUGGAUUUCACAUGGCUGGGCAGUGGUGCCAGGCCCAACCAGAAUGAGCCCCCCCAGGGCUUUAAUUGAUAGAAAUCCCCCAGUUUAAUCAGCUGUCUGGGUGGUGUGUCUCAAAAUUCACAAUUUUUACCUGGCAACAGCUCUUGUGGGCGGUCCUAUAGUCAGCAUACCAAUGGUACUCAUUGGAUGUCUGGCUUUGUGGAAACUGCACAGAUUAGUUUCCUGUUAUUGUCCCCAGCACAAUGUGUAUAAUGGUCAUGCUGUUUAUUGAUAUGCCACCUGUAAAGUGGCUGGAGUAUCUUGGCAAAGAAAACUCUCACUAACAGGGAUGGAAAUGCAUUGUGCACAUUUUCAGUAGCAUUUUGUGUGCAUGGGAAAGUUCAGCUCAUGGGACCAACAGUUUACAUGUUGCAUUUAUAUUUUUGUUCAGUGUAUAUAUGGGACUUUGACGAUGGCUUCCCUCUGUUCUUCUUGACACCAUUUUUAUCUUUCAGACAUGGAAAAUUGGCUGAUCUUGCUGUUUUAGAGUUACAUCGCAAAAUGAGCCACAGGCCAAGGUUCCUGGAGGCUGUCAGACCAGUUGCGUUUGUAAUGUCCUUGGCGCCUCAAUAUAAACUGCGCAGGGUUUGGUCAUGAAGGUGCAAGGACAAUUACCACUGACCUGCAAUGUUCACUAUUUUAUUGUGCUGUCAAAAUAUACAUACUUAAACUGUAAAUGUAGUGUUAACUAUAGAUUGGUCAAUAAAGUAUACUCUAAGCAUUGGUUUCACUUGCUGUUGUCCAU
ensembl:lncRNA